AUGUUUCACAUUCACAACAGAAGCACCAAAGGUUUUUUUCCCUCUUAACAAGCAUCGAGAAUAAUAGGGUUUAAAAGAGAGAAGAGAGAGAGAGAGAAAGAGCUUAGAGAAAAAAGUUUUCCCAACUUCUCAUUCCGCCUUCAGUUCCAGACUUCAGAGUCACCGUGAUCAUGCAAGCCUUUCACAUCACGUGAGGAUCAAGGGCUCAAUUGGUUGUCGUGAGAACAAAAAUGGUGACAAGCGUAUCAAGAAAAUACUGAUCUGGUCUUUAAAAAAAAGCUGAAGGUCUCUCGCCUCCCCCCGCACACACUCCCCGCACCGUCGCCCCCGCCCCCACCCGCAGUGGGCGAAGCUACAAGUUAUGAAUGUGAAACAUUUCUCAGAUCUAGGAUCUCGGAAGUUCGGAAGGAGUGAAAUGUAAUGAGCACAAGAGCAAAGCAGAUGUUUUAAAGAAACACCUUAUAAACCUUUCCUCAACUUAUCUCCAAUUUGUUGGCUUUCCCAAGGGGCCAGAGACGCGGACGCCUGGGGGAGGGGGAACAGCACCUCUGAACUAUUAGGAUUUUAGGGACCCCUUCAUGUAUUACACAAAGAAAAACAUUUUUUCUAGCUUUCAAACUGGGUCCUUAAAUAAACACACCAUUGUUACUAUUUGUGGGUUUGUUUGGGUUGGGUGGGGCUUUUUUUUUUUCCUUCUUUUUCUCUUAAUGGUGUCUUUGCUGGUUGCUUUUUUUUAAGACGGUGGAAAAUGGUAGUUAUAACCAUUAUAUGUAAUGGAUGAAUGUCCCCUUAAUAUUAAAUUAUUGGGCACUAGAAUGUGACAGGAGACAAAAAUCGGCUUGUUCUGCCCUUGCCCCCAUUUUAAUGGCUCUGUUUGGGAGGGGAUCUGCCCAGCUAGGAAAGGAGAGGAAGAAGGUAAGGUGCGCUAGAGAAUUGACACUACUGACCAGGAUAUGUAACUGUGUCACUUUUAUUCUCCUUUGGGUUAGAGCCCAAAAGGUAAUUUACUCUAAGUUACCCCGAGUGCCCAGUCAAGCUUAAUUUGUGUGAAGAAGUUACAAAUGCUUUACCCUCCACUGAAUAAAAUUCACCCUUCUUGGGUUGUUCUAAAUGCAAAA